GGGCGUUUAGCGCAGUGGUAGCGCGUAUGCUUUGCAAAAAGCCACACUUUGCGUGCGGUUCUCGUGUGUAUAAGGUCCAGGGUUCAAUCCCCUGAACGUCCA